UCCCUUUAAUGAAGCAAAGAGUAAAAUAUGCCUAUUUAGUCCAGUGAUGUCUCAAUACGAAAGAAAAUACUUCUUUUUAGAUCGACAUGUCUCAUUAGCAGUCCACUAAAAGCGAAAAACAUCCUCUGAUUCACAUGAGUCAGCUCAAAAAAAAACAUUGGAAAGUUGAGGAGGUGCGCGUCGAUAGUGUCCUACAGGUGAGUGUCAAAAGCUUCUUCUGCGUGCGUCCCGCACAGUUUUCCACAUUAAAAAAAAACGACACUCGCACUGCCCCACCGAGUUAUACACUCACUGGAUGUAAAUGUACAGCAUUCCAUUAGAAGUCGCACGACUCUUGUCUUACCCCGUGGACUUUUGCAGUAGGAACAAAGAAGGGGAAGACUCAACAAGUUGGUAAGGAAAGAAAGAGAGGGAUCAAACUGGAUCCACCGGUUCCUAAGGAAUUAGCCAUAGCGACAGGGAGCAGCCAAGCUAUUUUCAACAACCAAAGGACUGGAAAUCCGCGGACAACCCGCACGAGCUGCUAUUCUGGGAACUUGGUCUGACACAGAGAAACGGAUCACAGAGUGUGGACCCAGUCUGCCUCCCUGCUCGGCAAUCGAUUAGGUUACAAGGGGCCUCUUAUUUCUAAGGCUGUUGCCAGAUUAUAUCCCUGUGACGACAAAACAUAAGUGGCAUAGUCUAUUGGGGGCUACCGUGUACUCAAGGACAUGUAAAGUGACCACAUGCAUUAUAUAUAUAUGUGCACACUGACAUAAUAUUAUCACUGAAUUACUACAAUGUUACUGCUUUUCUUUGGAAAUAAAAUUGUGGCAAAAG